UACGUAGGGGGCAAGCGUUGUCCGGAUUUAUUGGGCGUAAAGAGCGUGUAGGCGGCUAGGUAGGUCCGUUGUGAAAACUCGAGGCUCAACCUCGAGCUGUCGAUGGAAACCAUCUGGCUAGAGUCCGGAAGAGGAGAGUGGAAUUCCUGGUGUAGCGGUGAAAUGCGCGGAUAUCAGGAGGAACACCGGUGGCGAAGGCGGAUCUCUGGGCCUUACCUGACGCUCAGGCGCGAAAGCUAGGGGAGCGAACUGG
rnacentral:rRNA from 1 species